rnacentral:rRNA from 1 species
AUUGAACGCUGGCGGCAUGCCUUACACAUGCAAGUCGAACGGCAGCAUGGAGAGCUUGCUCUCUGAUGGCGAGUGGCGAACGGGUGAGUAAUGCAUCGGAACGUACCGUGUAAUGGGGGAUAACGUAGCGAAAGUUACGCUAAUACCGCAUACGACCUGAGGGUGAAAGCAGGGGAUCGCAAGACCUUGCGUUAUACGAGCGGCCGGUGUCAGAUUAGCUAGUUGGUGAGGUAAAGGCUCACCAAGGCGACGAUCUGUAGCGGGUCUGAGAGGAUGAUCCGCCACACUGGGACUGAGACACGGCCCAGACUCCUACGGGAGGCAGCAGUGGGGAAUUUUGGACAAUGGGGGCAACCCUGAUCCAGCCAUGCCGCGUGAGUGAAGAAGGCCUUCGGGUUGUAAAGCUUUUUCGGCCGGGAAGAAAUCGCACAGGCUAAUACUCUGUGUGGAUGACGGUACCGGCAUAAGAAGCACCGGCUAACUACGUGCCAGCCGCCGCAGUAA